UCCCUGCAGUGUUCGUAGGUACGGUUAUAAUGUAAAACCAACAAUUUUUAUACGGGGUUUUGUCUCCGCAGGCGGCGCACAUGCCUCAUGUCUUUGACAUCCAGUGGACUUGUAAAGUCUGCGGGCGUUUUCCCACCUGGUUUCCAGGUUUUUACCUUAGAUCGUAUACGGCAUGGUGGGGGUU
rnacentral:other from 1 species